UUUUUGUACUAAUAAAGAACUUUCUAUGAGGAAUGAUUCAGAAAAGAUUAGCAUGGCCCCUGUGCAAAGGACAACAUGCGAAUUUGUGAAGUGUUUCAUAUUUCU